CAUGCAAGUCGAACGGUGAAGCCCAGCUUGCUGGGUGGAUCAGUGGCGAACGGGUGAGUAACACGUGAGCAAUCUGCCCCUGACUCUGGGAUAAGCGCUGGAAACGGCGUCUAAUACUGGAUACGAACCGUGGAGGCAUCUUCAACGGUUGGAAAGAUUUUUUGGUCAGGGAUGAGCUCGCGGCCUAUCAGCUUGUUGGUGAGGUAAUGGCUCACCAAGGCGUCGACGGGUAGCCGGCCUGAGAGGGUGACCGGCCACACUGGGACUGAGACACGGCCCAGACUCCUACGGGAGGCAGCAGUGGGGAAUAUUGCACAAUGGGCGAAAGCCUGAUGCAGCAACGCCGCGUGAGGGAUGACGGCCUUCGGGUUGUAAACCUCUUUUAGCAGGGAAGAAGCGAAAGUGACGGUACCUGCAGAAAAAGCGCCGGCUAACUACGUGCCAGCAGCCGCGGUAAUACGUAGGGCGCAAGCGUUAUCCGGAAUUAUUGGGCGUAAAGAGCUCGUAGGCGGUUUGUCGCGUCUGCUGUGAAAUCCCGAGGCUCAACUUCGGGUCUGCAGUGGGUACGGGCAGACUAGAGUGCGGUAGGGGAGAUUGGAAUUCCUGGUGUAGCGGUGGAAUGCGCAGAUAUCAGGAGGAACACCGAUGGCGAAGGCAGAUCUCUGGGCCGUAACUGACGCUGAGGAGCGAAAGGGUGGGGAGCAAACAGGCUUAGAUACCCUGGUAGUCCACCCCGUAAACGUUGGGAACUAGUUGUGGGGUCCAUUCCACGGAUUCCGUGACGCAGCUAACGCAUUAAGUUCCCCGCCUGGGGAGUACGGCCGCAAGGCUAAAACUCAAAGGAAUUGACGGGGACCCGCACAAGCGGCGGAGCAUGCGGAUUAAUUCGAUGCAACGCGAAGAACCUUACCAAGGCUUGACAUAUACGAGAACGCUGCAGAAAUGUAGAACUCUUUGGACACUCGUAAACAGGUGGUGCAUGGUUGUCGUCAGCUCGUGUCGUGAGAUGUUGGGUUAAGUCCCGCAACGAGCGCAACCCUCGUUCUAUGUUGCCAGCACGUCAUGGUGGGAACUCAUGGGAUACUGCCGGGGUCAACUCGGAGGAAGGUGGGGAUGACGUCAAAUCAUCAUGCCCCUUAUGUCUUGGGCUUCACGCAUGCUACAAUGGCCGGUACAAAGGGCUGCAAUACCGUGAGGUGGAGCGAAUCCCAAAAAGCCGGUCCCAGUUCGGAUUGAGGUCUGCAACUCGACCUCAUGAAGUCGGAGUCGCUAGUAAUCGCAGAUCAGCAACGCUGCGGUGAAUACGUUCCCGGGUCUUGUACACACCGCCCGUCAAGUCAUGAAAGUCGGUAACACCUGAAGCCGGUGGCCCAACCCUUGUGGAGGGAGCCGUCGAA
rnacentral:rRNA from 1 species